UUGAAAACAGUGGGGAAUUGUUCCUGGUUGCUUAGAUCCCAGAAACUGUGAAGGUUCUCAUACCCCAAGAAAGGACCUUACGCCAGGUACCUAAGCACUGGACAAGACCAUGCCAGGGAAACUGCCAUAUGGUUACUGGGUAUGAAAGCAGCAAUCAGAAGACCUGGGACAGUAGACAAGGACAAUUGUUUGCCACCAACUAUCUCGCUCUCCAAUGGGACUCCCUUUCCCCCCAUCACAUAUUCUACAAUUGCAACUGGAUUUGCCCAAGUCAGGCAGGUUUUCCAGUGGAGCUAGAGGAUGUGUGAUGGCAGCUCCCACUAAGUAUAGCAAGCCGACCGAUACUAUGUGUUAAGUAAUAAAUACGUAAACAAUUAAUGUGGCUGUCA
rnacentral:lncRNA from 1 species